UCCCACAAUGUCACAAAUAGCUUAAUUUCAGGUUUUCUGCAUCAUUCCUUUAAUUAUUAAUUAUUUUACCCUAUAUGUGUUUUUCUAAUAACAUUACUUUUGCUUGGAUUUUUUCCCCUCAUUCCUUUACUAUCCUGUAUGUUAUUUUACCCUAUAUAUUUAUUUUUCUAAAUAGCAUUAGUUCUGCUUCAAUUGAAGUUUACAAAAAAAUGUUAUCUCUCUUCUUUCACUCAAUAUUUUAUUUUUGAAAUUCAGCCUCUGAUGCUUGUAAGUGGUAGCUAUAGUUCCCUCAUUUUUACUGCUACAUGGUUUUCCGUGGUAUACGUUUUCCACACAUUUCUUCCUUCACAAUAUUUCAAAGGCGAUUUUGUGUGCUAAGCUCUUGGCCUAGAUCCUGCCCCAGCGCUUAAUAAAUAUUUGUUCAAUUGCUGAAUGAAACUGAGCGCCAACUGACUAUAACACUGACACUUGCUUUUCCGGCUAGCUUCUCUGCCCUUCGCCCCAUUGCUAAGGAUCCUGCCAGCAUUUCUGCCCUGAGUUAAUUACAGUUAUAAAAUUUCAUGACCAGCAGUGAGAAACCCGGCAGCCUCCCAAAGCGCCCAGGACUACAAUUCCCGGAAAGCUUUGCGGGCGCCCAAUUGCGUCAAUUUCAGUUUACUUUGCCCUCUCCAAGAACUUCCGGUUUCUGUGGGCGGGGCCAAAGGAGUUCUCCAAUGGGCACCUCCGUGGGCUGAGGGGGCGGGGAAAUUGUCCUUGGAGCCUAGUCGGGGAGGUGCCGGUUAGCAGGAAGGUUGCUGGAGCGGCUUCCAGUGGGCGUAGUCUGGCCUCAUCAUAUUUGCGUGAAGAGCCUGUAUUUUGCAGAGUUACAGUGUUUUGCCUUUGCUAGGUGAGUCUGCACUUUCAGGAGUGUAGUGGGGGCUACGUGGGCCGUGUUAUGACUACAGGUGUGUGUCAUGUGCCUGAAAGCAUGAAAAAGAAAGCACGAGGCUUGAGUGUACUCCACUCAUUCAGUCGUUCAACAACAGUUAAGAGCUUACUUUGUGCUUGUCCCUUUGUUUUGGCCUGUUGGUGGGGUUUUGCUGAUUGAGAGCCAAAAAAAAAAAAAAAAAAAGAUGAACUGGAUUGAGGUGGUGUCUGAACUCACCUCCAGUUGGAAAAGACAGGAAGUAAAGAAUUACCCAGGAAGUAACAUAGUUACAAGUUUGCCUUGAUUGGUGAGAAAUGUAGCCAUGCCAUUAGAGUUUGUGAUUUCAAUGCUGUUUGAGCAUGAACUAAACUCAACUCUGGUUUGUACAGAGGGUGUCUUAAAAGGGAGAAUGAGAGAGGAAGGAGGUGGGCAGGCAGGGGUCCAGUAGAGUCAGAGAAGAAUUACAGAAAAUGGGAAAGGGGGGGUUGGCCCAUGUGAAACCAUCUGGAUUUGCUAACUGGGAAACGGGGUGUUGUCUGGAAUAAACAGUAAAUUCUUUUGGUUGCUUGGAGUUUUCUGAAGCAAGCACACUAAGGGAGCCGAGAAUCAUCCUAGGGAUGUGGCCUUGAAUUGUGAGAAACCACGCUAGUGUGUGCUCAGGUUUUUAUAUUACAAGCCAAGUUUAAGGUCUAGUUGAGGAGCGGCUCAGAGGAGCCUCUCCUAGAGGUUGGUCAAGGAAAGAAUCUUGGUCGGUAUAAAAUAGUUUGCUGCUUCUUGUGUUGUGUGACUAUACCACAAGUUGUUCUUUUCACCUGAUGAUGCUCUUUGGCCAUUGGGAAUAGGCUGCAAUGAACAUUCUUCUAUCAGCCUUACGUUUCUCUUGGAUAAAUAUCUAGGAGUGGGGAAUGGCUCAGUCAUAGGGAGGGUAUGUAUUUAACUGCCAGACUCAUCUCCAAAGGGGUUUAUCAGUUUACACUUCCCAGUAGCAAUGUAUCAAAACUCCAGCUGCUCCAUAUCCUUGUUAAGCAUUCGGUAUUGUCAGUGGAUGUGAAAUGGCAUCUCAUUCUGGUCCUAAGUGGAAUUUCCUGGUGACAAAUGCAUACUUCUUAUGUGCUUAUUCCUGUAUCUUCUUUUGUGAAUUUGUUCAAGUUCUUUGCUCUUUUUGCUGCCAAUGAUAAGGUUGGUUUCAACGUCUUAGAAUUCAUUAUAUAUUCUGGCUAGGAAUCCUUUGCUUAGAUGUUUUGUAAAUAGAUGUACAUGUAUAGGAAAAUGAAAAUUUAAAAUAUCAUUUACAAUAGCAUUAAAAAAGCUAUCUAUCUAUGGAGUUCCCAUUGUGGCACAGGGAAAACAAAUCUGACUAGUAUCCACGAGGAUGCAGGUUCUAUCCUAGGCCCCGCUCAGUGGGUUAAGGAUCUGGCAUUGCCAUGAGCUGUGGUGAAGGUUGCAGAUGUGGCUUGGAUUCCUUGUUACUGUGAUGUGGUACAGGCAGGCAGGUGUAGCUGUGAUUCAACUCUUCUUCUGGGCACUUCCAUAUGCCUUGGGUGUGGCCUUAAAAAGCAAAAAUAAAUAAAUAAACAACAAACCCACCAACCAGUGGUCUAAGUCCUAGACAAGGCCCUCGCCAUCUUUUUUUGGAAGAAAUUCAUAAAUUGAUUCUAAAAUGUGUGUGAAAACACAAAGGUUCUAGAAUAGCCAAAAAAAAAAAAAAAAAAAAAAAAGAACCAAACAAAAAAACCCAAAAACAAAAACAAACAAACAAAAAAACCACAACUUGAAAAGAAAAGGGAAGUCAGGGAACUUAAACACUGCUUAAACUAAGUCUAAAGAUACAGUUAAGCUACAGUGUUCAAAACAAUUUGGCCUUACUAUAUAGGUAGGAAAAUAGCAUCAGUGAAACAGAAGCGAAACUACACCAGUGCUGUCAGUUGAUUUCUGCCCAGAGGGCCACGUUAGUUUUCCUUUUCCCAAUAAGAAAAAGGAAAGUCUCUUGAACCAAUGCUUCUGGAUCAGCUGGAUAUUCAAGUGGAAACAGAAUGAGCUGUGACCUCAUUCUACAAACACUAAUUUGGG